GAUGAAGAACGCAGCGAAAUGCGAAAAGUAAUGUGAAUUGCAGAAUUCAGUGAAUCAUCGAAUCUUUGAACGCACAUUGCGCCCGCCAGUAUUCUGGCGGGCAUGCCUGUCUGAGCGUCAUUUCAACCCUCACGCCCCUAGGGCGUGGUGUUGGGGAUCGACCAAGGCCCGCAAGGGACGGCCGGCCCCUAAAUCUAGUGGCGGACCCAUCGUGGCCUCCCCUGCGAAGUAGUAAUAUAUUCCGCAUCGGAUAGCGAUGAGCCCCUGCCGUUAAACCCCCAACUCUUUCAAGGUUGACCUCAGAUCAGGUAGGAAUACCCGCUGAACUUAAGCAUAUCAAUAAGCGGAGGA
rnacentral:misc_RNA from 1 species